rnacentral:rRNA from 1 species
UACAGAGGUCUCAAGCGUUGUUCGGAUUCAUUGGGCGUAAAGGGUGCGUAGGCGGCGCGGUAAGUCGGGUGUGAAAUCUCGGAGCUUAACUCCGAAACUGCAUUCGAUACUGCCGUGCUUGAGGACUGGAGAGGAGACUGGAAUUUACGGUGUAGCGGUGAAAUGCGUAGAUAUCGUAAGGAAGACCAGUGGCGAAGGCGGGUCUCUGGACAGUUCCUGACGCUGAGGCACGAAGGCCAGGGGAGCAAACGGGA